rnacentral:lncRNA from 1 species
GUGUGUGCGUGAUAUCGAUCAGGAGAAGAGGAAAAGGGGUGAAACCCUAAUUCAAGAAAACCUUCAAAUUGAGAGGGGAAUUGAGGGCCAUUUGGAUGCAUGAACCAAGAAUGUUAAUCCCCUAAGUGUUUUCAAUAACAAUGAGGUGUAGAUGAUAAGCAUCAUGUCAAGAGGACACAAGCACAAAUGGCAAUCGGGUCAAGAGGAGACAAGGGAAUGGUCACGAAUACGGACGCUUAAGGUAAGUGAUUCCGACUCACUUCUUAGUGUAAAUGUAGAAUCCUAAUAUUUAUAUGUGUGGGUAAGAAUGGUGCAAGGGAUAUGUAAUGAUUAUGAGUCUUAAGUUAAGUGUUAUUUAUAACGAAUGAAUUGUUAUAAUAAAGGAGAAUUGAUGGUACUAAACGGGUCGAAUAAUCAUGUAUAUGUAUAGUAGUAAUGUAGAAGUUUGAAAAGAUUAAGGACCCGGGGUAAGGAUUCUUAUUAUAAGAUGUAGGGAAAUGUUUUACGGACAAUUAGAAACAAGUUCCAAGUGAUUCGGACGCAAAACGAAUGAGUUAUGCGAGUUUUAGUAUUUUAAAAAGGAAGGUUGAUUCAGGGGCCACCGUAAGCUACGGUAGCCACCGUAGCUUACGGUGGGUGCUGGGAAUGUUGUAUCUGCCGUAAGGCAGGUUAAGAUUGUCGUAAGGAUUUGGGGGCCACCGUAAGCUACGGUAGCCACCGUAGCUUACGGUGGAGGGCUGAUGUAAUUGUUUUGUUUGUGUAGUUUCCUCGUUUUUCCUCGAACGCGGACCCCGUGAACCCAUUCCAAGCCUUGUUAAGUCUUUAUAAUGUUCCUUAACCCUACCAAAUGGCUUGGUUAGUCAUGGAUGAGUAUGAAACUCAUUUUAAGAACCGAAACAUACCCGAUAGAUAUUGUUGAAAGCAUUUAAGAUGUGCGUAUAAGAUAGGGGUAUGUAAGCGAGUACGCGGGGUAACGAAUUAAGUAUGUGAGUAGGUAUGCUUGUAGGGAUUAGUGCAUGUAUGUACGUAUGUGAGUAGGUAGGUUUAUAUGAAGUAAUAUAUGUAUGAAUGUGUGUAGGUAUGAAUGUACGUAGUUAUGUAUGUAAUGCAUACGUGGUUUCAAUACUUUUAAGUAUUGACGAUAUUAACAGUGUGCCUCGAGAAUGAAAUGUGGUGCAGGUUCUCCAUCGAGGUUCGCAAAGGAUUAGGCACCCGGAUGGAAUGACUACAUCUAGAAAGAUAACGGAUGGAAAGAAUAUGCGGAUAGAACAAAUCGAGACUACACAAUUAAGAACCUUGUUUGUGUAGUACGAAUCACAGAAUUUCAUACCAAGGAGUAGCGAUCAAAGACCGAGUCACAAGUCAGAUUGUACGGGAAUACUUGGCUAUGUAAAUUGAUAGUUAUGCUUUUGUUAUGUAAAUUAAGUACAAAAGAUGCAUAUAAUGUAAGAAAGUGGUUCUUAAUGAACUUGCUAGUAGGUUAAAACGUUAUUAAUGAAAGAAAUUU